rnacentral:tRNA from 1 species
GCCCGGGUGGCUCAGUCGGUUGAGCAUCCGACUUCAGCUCGGGUCAUGAUCUCACAGUUUGUGGGUUUGAGCCCUGCGUCGGGCU